rnacentral:rRNA from 1 species
ACGUAGGGACCAAGCGUUGUUCGGAUUUACUGGGCGUAAAGGGCGCGUAGGCGGCGUGGUAAGUCAAUUGUGAAAUCUCCGAGCUUAACUCGGAACGGUCAAUUGAUACUGCUGUGCUAGAGCGCAGAAAGGGCAAUCGGAAUUCUUGGUGUAGCGGUGAAAUGCGUAGAUAUCAAGAGGAACACCUGAGGCGAAGGCGGGUUGCUAGGCUGACACUGACGCUGAGGCGCGAAAGCUAGGGGAUCAAACAGGA